rnacentral:tRNA from 1 species
GCACUGGUGGUUCAGUGGUAGAAUUCUCGCCUGCCACGCGGGUGGCCCGGGUUCGAUUCCGGCCAGUGCA